GGGGUACACGAGCGGCGAACGGGUGAGUAACACGUGAGCAACCUGCCCCUGACUCCGGGAUAAGCGGUGGAAACGCCGUCUAAUACCGGAUACGACCCGGCGUCUCAUGACGGUGGGUGGAAAGUUUUUCGGUCGGGGAUGGGCUCGCGGCCUAUCAGCUUGUUGGUGGGGUAACGGCCUACCAAGGCGAUUACGGGUAGCCGGCCUGAGAGGGCGACCGGCCACACUGGGACUGAGACACGGCCCAGACUCCUGCGGGAGGCAGCAGUGGGGAAUAUUGCGCAAUGGGCGAAAGCCUGACGCAGCGACGCCGCGUGGGGGAUGACGGCCUUCGGGUUGUAAACCUCUUUUACCACCAACGCAGGCCCGGGGUUCUCUCCGGGUUGACGGUAGGUGGGGAAUAAGGACCGGCUAACUACGUGCCAGCAGCCGCGGUAAUACGUAGGGUCCGAGCGUUGUCCGGAAUUAUUGGGCGUAAAGAGCUCGUAGGCGGCGUGUCGCGUCUGCUGUGAAAGACCGGGGCUUAACUCCGGUUCUGCAGUGGAUACGGGCAUGCUAGAGGUAGGUAGGGGAGACUGGAAUUCCUGGUGUAGCGGUGAAAUGCGCAGAUAUCAGGAGGAACACCGGUGGCGAAGGCGGGUCUCUGGGCCUUACCUGACGCUGAGGAGCGAAAGCAUGGGGAGCGAACAGGAUUAGAUACCCUGGUAGUCCAUGCCGUAAACGUUGGGCGCUAGGUGUGGGGACUUUCCACGGUUUCCGCGCCGUAGCUAACGCAUUAAGCGCCCCGCCUGGGGAGUACG
rnacentral:rRNA from 1 species